GAAUGAUGCAGUUGAGCUGAAUUAGCAUCUUUCAAGAUCAAGAGCUCUGUGGCUGCUUCUGUCUGAUAGGACAGAAAUUAAUAAUGGACACACUUGAGCAUACUUAAGGAUUCACCUACAGUCCGUGAUCUUGAUGUUUGCAUCUGCCUCUUAGGAGCGUGGAGAUCAGUAGCGGACCCAUCUGAGCUGAUUCAGUACCUUCGGUGGUCACAGGCUCUGUGGUCGCAUACGUGUGCUGGCAGCAUGGAGACCAGCAAUGGGCGCGCGUGAGCUGAUGUAAGCAUCGUUGACGGUGUUGAGCUCCUGGCUCCAUCUGUUUGUUAGGGGCAUGGAGACCAAUCCUUGGAAAGGAUGCCCUUGAGCUGACGUAAGCAUCCUUCAGGGCUGUGAGUGCCAUGGUUACACCUCCGCACUGGGAACAUGGAGACCCAUAAUGGGGACCGCCACACCAGUUCUGGCAUUCCGCCUGGCCUUGAAUUCAGAGGUUGUCUUAGGAGCAUGGAGACCACCAGUGUGUAAGGAGACACACUUGAGCUGAUUUCUGUAAUCAAGACCUUUAUGGCUCAUUGCUGGAUACCCCAUAGCUAAUUACAUUGUUCUCCAGUCAUGACGACCUUUGCCUUAUCCUGUGGGAAGGAGCUUAUUGUGCUACUCAUUAUAUUAAAUGAUGAAGAUCCUGACUGGGACCAGCGUGGCCAAGGACAGUAUAGAUUGGGGAGAGUGACGAGGGCAACGAAGUUCUGGAAGAACGCCAGUUGGGAUGGGAGCCGCCAGCCCAGACCAGGCGUGUUUAAGGCAGCAGACCAGGCCAUCUUGCCUGGGAUGGAGGGUGAGAAAAGUAAGCUGCAACACCUUUGCUCUCGGGGGGGUAUUUGCCCAAGACCCGCCCUCCACUCCCCCCGCCCCCCAUAGCCUCAUAUCCUCCCUCCCUCCUGCAAUACAGGCUGUAGUUUCAUACCUGCUUUACAGCUGACACCGAUCACCCCUCUUCCUCUCUUGUCUUGCCGGCUCCUGACCCUGGAUUCCAUCUCUCACUCCUGGUUUUGCAUCCUUUGGUCUUGGUGACGGAACUUGGUCAUUUGGCUUGGAAUAUGGCUUCCUCCUUCCUGAUGAUUGGAUCUCCGCUCAGAUCACUGGCCUUUCCACCUCAGAGUGAAUCAGGAAAGAGCAGUCUGUGUCUUUGAAGUCACCGGCGCUGUCCAGGUUCCUUGUCCUGAGCUGUGAGAGAGAGAGAGGUAAGUUUCUAUCGUUUACCCUGCAGAAAUCUGGCCAUGUGCCGUGCCCUAUGGAACUCACACCUGAGCUGGGCCUCCCAGUGGGUGCCCCCCACCCCCUCUUGGGCCCCCUGAGCCUGAGGGUGCCCUCUGUCCCCCCUCUGCCAGCACCCCUUCUGCUGGCCUCUGUGCUCGCUCGGCCUCCGUGGCCGCUGGGGACCUUCACGAAGGGUGACAUUUCCCUAUUCCCUUCACGUGAGACCGCAGUCGGAGCCAACGGCUGCCCAAAGCACGAUGGCCAGUGUCUCCACCAUCGCCGUUUUG